rnacentral:sRNA from 1 species
CAGGCGUCAUGUUGGGGAAGGUGAGAACCUUCUACGAAGUUCGAGUCGAGCAGCGCUAGACAACUCGCGUAGCACGGCCCGAAAGGUGAGGAGCUGAGCGACGAAUAAUCCUUCUCCCACUAUCA